rnacentral:misc_RNA from 1 species
AAAAUGCGAUACCUGGUGUGAAUUGCAGAAUCCCGCGAACCAUCGAGUUUUUGAACGCAAGUUGCGCCCGAGGCCUUCUGGCCGAGGGCACGCCUGCCUGGGCGUCACGCCAACAGACACUCCCACCCCAUCAUCGGGUGUAGGAUGUGGCGUUUGGCUCCCCGUGCCUGAAGGUGCGGUGGGCCGAAGUUGGGGCUGCCGGCAUACCGUGUCGGGCACAGCACGUGGUGGGCGACUACAAGUUGUUCUCGGUGCAGCGUCCCGGCACGCAGCUAGCUUGAUGGCCCUAAGGACCCAUGUACAACCGAAGCGCACUGUCGCUCGGACCGCGACCCCAGGUCAGGCGGGACUACCCGCUGAGUUUAA